UACAGAGGUCCCAAGCGUUGUUCGGAUUCACUGGGCGUAAAGGGUGCGUAGGUGGUCGGGUAAGUCUGAUGUGAAAUCCCGCAGCUCAACUGCGGAAUGGCAUUGGAUACUAUUUGGCUAGAGGGUUGGAGGGGGGACUGGAAUUCUCGGUGUAGCAGUGAAAUGCGUAGAUAUUGGGAGGAACACCAGUGGCGAAGGCGGCUCACUGGACCGGUACUGACGCUGAGGCGCGAAAGCGUGGGGAGCAAACGGG
rnacentral:rRNA from 1 species